rnacentral:rRNA from 1 species
CCUACGGGAUGCAGCAGUGAGGAAUAUUGGUCAAUGGGCGGAAGCCUGAACCAGCCAAGUAGCGUGCAGGAUGACGGCCCUACGGGUUGUAAACUGCUUUUAUACGGGAAUAACGCGCCUUACGUGUAGGGCUUUGCAUGUACCGUAUGUAUAAGGACCGGCCAAUUCCGUGCCAGCAGCCGCGGUAAUACGGAAGGGCCGGGCGUUAACCGGAUUUGGUGGGGUUAAAGGGAGCGUAGGACGCAUUUCAAGCGUGCUGUGAAAUGUCCGGGCUCAACCCGGGCCUUGCAGCGCGAACUGGCGGGCUUGAGUCCGCGGAAAGCAGGCGGAAUUCGUCGUGUAGCGGUGAAAUGCUUAGAUAUGACGAAGAACCCCGAUUGCGAAGGCAGCUUGCUGCAGCGGAACUGACGCUGAUGCUCGAAAGCGCGGGUAUCGAACAGGAUUAGAUACCCUGGUAGUC